CUGGAAUUACAGCAGCAGCUCAGCAGCAGGAAGGAAGUUGCCAGAACAACAAGCGUGUGCAUCCAGAAAUUUCAAAAUCAGCAAAAGCUAACAUGCCCAUCUGCUAAAUGGACACACGGAG